AUUGAACGCUGGCGGCAUGCCUUACACAUGCAAGUCGAACGGCAGCACGGGUGCUUGCACCUGGUGGCGAGUGGCGAACGGGUGAGUAAUACAUCGGAACAUGUCCUGUAGUGGGGGAUAGCCCGGCGAAAGCCGGAUUAAUACCGCAUACGAUCUACGGAUGAAAGCGGGGGACCUUCGGGCCUCGCGCUAUAGGGUUGGCCGAUGGCUGAUUAGCUAGUUGGUGGGGUAAAGGCCUACCAAGGCGACGAUCAGUAGCUGGUCUGAGAGGACGACCAGCCACACUGGGACUGAGACACGGCCCAGACUCCUACGGGAGGCAGCAGUGGGGAAUUUUGGACAAUGGGCGAAAGCCUGAUCCAGCAAUGCCGCGUGUGUGAAGAAGGCCUUCGGGUUGUAAAGCACUUUUGUCCGGAAAGAAAUCCUUGGCUCUAAUACAGCCGGGGGAUGACGGUACCGGAAGAAUAAGCGCCGGCUAACUACGUG
rnacentral:rRNA from 1 species